UGAUAGAGGAUGCGGAUGCGAAAAGUAACGCACAACAACGACGGCAAUCGGUUGUGUGUGAAAGGCAAUUCCGCCGAAGCAGUUUUUUGUUUGCCGACGGCUUUCUGCUGGGACGAUAUUUAAAAGAUAUCGGACUGUCAUAUUUUAAAUGUGGAGAGCUAUCA
rnacentral:ncRNA from 1 species